rnacentral:rRNA from 1 species
CCCUGUGAACAUACCAAUUGUUGCCUCGGCGGAUCAGCCCGCUCCCGGUAAAACGGGACGGCCCGCCAGAGGACCCCUAAACUCUGUUUCUAUAUGUAACUUCUGAGUAAAACCAUAAAUAAAUCAAAACUUUCAACAACGGAUCUCUUGGUUCUGGCAUCGAUGAAGAACGCAGCAAAAUGCGAUAAGUAAUGUGAAUUGCAGAAUUCAGUGAAUCAUCGAAUCUUUGAACGCACAUUGCGCCCGCCAGUAUUCUGGCGGGCAUGCCUGUUCGAGCGUCAUUUCAACCCUCAAGCCCCCGGGUUUGGUGUUGGGGAUCGGCGAGCCCUUGCGGCAAGCCGGCCCCGAAAUCUAGUGGCGGUCUCGCUGCAGCUUCCAUUGCGUAGUAGUAAAACCCUCGCAACUGGUACGCGGCGCGGCCAAGCCGUUAAACCCCCAACUUCUGAAUGUUGACCUCGGAUCAGGUAGGAAUACCCGCUGAACUUAAGCAUAUCAUAAACCCGGAGGGAUUACACUCCCAAACCCCUGUGAACAAUACCAAUUGUUGCCUCGGCGGAUCAGCCGCGCUCCCGGUAAAACGGGACGGCCCGCCAGAGGACCCCUAAACUCUGUUUCUAUAUGUAACUUCUGAGUAAAACCAUAAAUAAAUCAAAACUUUCAACA